rnacentral:sRNA from 1 species
UUAAGGAAAUUUAUUAUGAGACUCAGAAACACAGAAUUCAGGGAAAUCAAAGAGUUACAAGACUUGGGACAUUUCUAAUUAAGAUUACCAGUAAGGGAAAAUCCCCCCUAGACAGUGCCCUAAGACAAGCGGAAGGUUCCAGAAAAUUUGUUCCCCAUACAAUUUCUGGAAAGUGGCUACCUACCUCCUGCCCCACUCCCCCAACCAGCUCAGGAGUCCAGAGACUACAAAAUAGGCAUUAGGCUUACCUGCCACUCACAGUCCUGAAAAGCUGUUUAUCCAGAAAAACUUUUUUUAAGGGGAGCAAAGCCAUGCUUUUCCUGCUUUCUCUGCUCAACUACAAAAUUCCUCUCAGACUCUCCCUGGUCCAUUCCCCUGUACUUUCGAGAAGCUGUGCCCCGGAGUCUGGGGGCCUUCACCUCUCAGACCAAUACAAGUUUGAUCUUACUGCUACAUUUCUGAUGGAGUCUUUAUUUUUCUUAUAUCCCACCCCCACCUGCUUACUUCUGGCAGUGCGAAUAAGCCAUGAUCAAUUGAUGGGGAAGAUGAGCUUCUGGUGGAGCUGUCUGCAGCUCAGAGCUCUGCAGACAUAGCUUCACCUAUGCUCCUGUGGAGUACUGUAGAAUGCAGUUGUCCUUUCCAUAAUCCUAACACACCGAUUGGCUCAUCAAGCUAGAGUGGAGUAAUUUCCUUGGUCUGUCAUUUAUGCUUUAUAUAGGGUGAAUAGACACUGCUUAAUGUCUCCCAGGAAAAGUCACACAGACACACAAAACGGAGUUCAUUCAGAUUGCAGGAUGUAUCAUAUUUCAUAUUUAUGUGUGAAUAUUAUUUCACCAUAUGUAUAAACCACAUCAAGCUUCUGUAUUUAUGUAUUGAUGAACAUUUGGAUUGUUUCUAGCUUUUAGGUCUUCUGGAUAAUGUUUAAAGAAAAACUAGAGUACAUGUAUUUAAGUUCCUGCUUUCCGGUCUUUGAUUCUGCACCUUGAAAUGAAAUGUCUGGCUCACAGGAUGCUGUAUGGAACAUCCAAGCUUCUCAAGAGAAAUGGAUCUGCUUUUACAAAUGGUAUUGUAGAGACAACACUAUUACACACCCUGAGGGAAGAGUGUGGGGAGAUGAGUAAGAUGUGUUUCUUGUUCACAAGUUCGUGAAUCACAGGACAGUUGAGAUUAUUGUGAGGCUGUUGGGUCUUGUAUGAAUUUCUUAUUCUGUAAUACUGUACUUUGCCCUAAGUAGAACACACACUGUUGACCUAUAGGAUAAUUGGAUAAGCUAAUCAUUGAUGAGUUGGGGUAUGGAUCUAGUGUAUUAUCGGAGCACCUAAAAAAGAGGAAAAAGCAUUUUUUGGUUUGAUUUCUUUAGAUAGAAUCUCUCUAUGUAACCUCAGCUGGCCUAGAACUAACUACUCUUUCAUCUCCAGCUAAGUACCAAGGUUAUAUGUAGGCUUAGCAGCAGUUCUAAACAAAAACUAAAUAUUUAUGGAUCAGGAACUGUGAGGACCUCAUUUAAUCGUUAAUUAUACAUUAGUGGCCCUAUUUUAUAGUGAGGAAACCAAUACUUGGUGAGGUUAAGGCAGUUGCCUACCAUCACCUAGCCAGUAAGGCUGAGCUAUGAUAUCACCACACUAGCUCCCAAGUUCCCCUUGGCUAUGCUUCCAACAUGAGGAUUCUCUGAUAAUUUCAUCUUUUCAUUGUUGGGAUGCCAGAAUUUUUCUGAGCAGGUCAGAUUGCUCCCUAACCAGUAAACACAGGUAUGAGAGAGGAUUGUUGUGCAUAUUUUUCUCCUAUUUUGACUACACUAAUGAAACUUUUGGUUUGCAGGAGAGGUGAACUCCUGUGCCUAUAUGUCUUUUGCUCCAUUGACUCACUGCUCUGUAAUCCUGGUAUGAAAUAAUCAAUAAGCAUUGGUUAUUAUGACUGUGGAAAUGAUGAAGCUAAUAUAUACCUUGCUAUACCGGUAAGGAAAUGAACUUCAGAGAGAUGACCACAGAUGAUAAGGAGCAGAUCUGAGACCUACAGCACCCAUCCUACACACAGUGAUUACACUCACUGCUCUUCCUAAUAUGGUUGAAGGAAGUGUUGCGAUCCAGUAAGCUCUAGGGAAUUGGUUGUCAGUGCGGAUCCUGGAAGUAAUCCUUCAAGUGUAUCAGGUAGAUAUGUUUGUGAUUCAAGGUACCUUUGUACAAAGACGAUGGAGUAGAUGUCAGCAUAAAUACA